rnacentral:lncRNA from 1 species
GGGGUGAGGAGCGGGAAGAGAGAAUUUGCAUAGAACCCCCAUUUCCCUUGAUUCCCAGGGACUCGAUUAUUUCAGGAAGGGAGAAGUAGAGACGGGAGAAGAGAGGUCUCCCCCAGCCUCCUUCCCGCCCAGCUCAGGAGAGAGGGAUGCAGAACCUUGGCCAUAGAGCGAAUGACGCCUGCCGACUCUCCUUCUCCUUUCCUAUUAUGACAAUGACUUUGGG